ACCGUGAGGGAAAGGUGAAAAGCAUCUCGAACAGAGAAGUGAAAAGAACCUGAAACCGUGCGCUUACAAGCGGUAGGAGCCCUUUGGGGUGACUGCGUGCCUUUUGCAUAAUGAGCCUACGAGUUACUCCUCUCUGGCAAGGUUAACCCCGUUUCGGGGGAAGCCGUAGCGAAAGCAAGUCUGAAUAGGGCGAACAGUCAGAGGGGGUAGACGCGAAACUUUAGUGAUCUACCCAUGACCAGGAUGAAGUGUCAGUAACAUGACAUGGAGGUCCGAACCAGUUGACGUUGAAAAGUCUUUGGAUGAGUUGUGGGUAGGGGUGAAAGGCUAAUCAAACUGAGAGAUAGCUCGUACUCCCCGAAAUGUUUUUAGGAACAGCCUCAUGUUAAGUGUCACAGAGGUAGAGCUACUAAUUGGGUAAGGGGGUGUCAAAACCUACCGAACUCAGAUAAACUCCGAAUGCUGAUGACAUGUUUCAUGGGAGUGAGGCUUUGGGUGCUAAGGUCCAAAGCCAAGAGGGAAAGAACCCAGACCAUCAGUUAAGGUCUCUAAAUAUAUACUAAGUUGAACUAACGUGGUCCAAUUGCUAAGACAGCUAGGAUGUUUGCUUGGAAGCAGCCAUUCAUUUAAAGAGUGCGUAACAGCUCACUAGUCGAGUGAUUGGGCAUGGAUGAUAAACGGGCAUCAAGUAUAUUACCGAAACUAUGGUACCGUAAGGUAGGUAGGGGAGCAUUCCAGUUGCAAUGAAGGUGUGUCGUAAGAUAUAUUGGAGCGGCUGGAAAAGAAAAUGUAGGCAUAAGUAACGAUAAAGCAGGUGAGAAACCUGCUCACCGAUAGACUAAGGGUUCCUGAUCAACGCUAAUCGGAUCAGGGUUAGUCGGGUCCUAAGACGAAUCAAUUACGAGUAGUCGAUGGCAAACUGGUUAAUAUUCCAGUACCGAUUGCAAUUCGAUGGGGUGACACAGAAGUGAAAGAUCCGCGUACUGACGGAAUAGUACGUUAAAGCUUGUAGAUAUAAGUUUGGUAGGCAAAUCCGCCAGACUUGUCGAAAGUGAUAGUACCGUGAGCCUUCUCGGCAAACGGAUAGUGAUCCUAAUCAUGCUGUCAAGAAAAACCUCUAAGUUAUGUUGUAAUCGCCCGUACCGCAAACCGACACAGGUAGUCAAGGAGAGAAUCCUAAGGUGCUUGAGUGAAUCACGGUUAAGGAACUCGGCAAAUUAACCCUGUAACUUCGGGAUAAGGGGUGCCUACUUCGGUAGGCCACAGUAAAUUGGGUCUGGCGACUGUUUAACAAAAACACAGCACUCUGCUAAGUCGUGAAGACGACGUAUAGGGUGUGACACGUGACCAAUGCCGAAAGAUUAAGGUGACUUGUUAGCCGUAAGGCGAAGCUCGGAGCCGAAGUCCCGGUGAAUGUCGGCCGUAACUAUAACGGUCCUAAGGUAGCGAAAUU
rnacentral:rRNA from 12 species